UUCCCCGAAGGUUCUAGGAGCGUCUUUGUGGUAGGCUGAAUAUUGGUCUUCCAAACAUGCCCAUGUCCUAAUUCCUGGAAACUAUGCGCACGUCACAUGACAUAACAAAAGGACUUUACAUAUGUAGUUAAGGUUAGGAACCGGAAUGUAAAGGGAGGAGCCUGCAUUAUCCAGGUGGGCCAAAUCAGUCGCCUGAGCCCUCAAAAGCUCUUUUAGCUAGAGCCGCAGAGACAAGUGAGAUGUCACAGAAAAAGAAGCCAGCAAGAUUCCAACUCAGAGAAGAGCUUGGCCUACCUUGACUGGAGUGAGGUCAGGGCUUCGUGGAAAACCAUGGCAAAGAAUGCAGAAAGGCUUGUGGAAGUAAAACAAGCCCUUGCCUGACAUUUGACGAGGGAAGAAGGACCCCAGUUCCACACAUGAAGAGAGGGUUAUUCCAGCAAGGACUUGAAUGAGUCUGAAAGCAGAUUCUUCUCAGAACCUUCUGAUAAAAGCCCAGUUGCCCAACACCUUGGUUUCCGUCUUACGAAGCUCAGAGCUUCUGACCUACGGAAUUGUGUGAUAAUCCAUAAGGGUCGUUGUGGUUUCACCACAUUUGGCAUAUUUUCUUGUUCUAUUAAACUAGAUCUUCAACAUCA